rnacentral:rRNA from 1 species
AUGACGCACGUCCUAGUUCACCUAUGCGAAGAGAUUAGCGUUUUGGGUCCUGUAUUUCUACACAAUAUGUUCCCCUUAAAGAGGUUCAUGGGAGUCUUAAAGAAAUAUGUUCAUAACCGUGCUAGGCCAGAAGGAAGCAUCUCCAAGGGCCAUCAAAAUGAGGAGGUCAUUGAGUUUUGUAUUGACUUUAUUCCUGACCUUAAGCCGAUUGGUGUUCCUGAAUCGCGGCAUAAGGGCAGACUGGAUGGAAAAGGCACGCUAGGAGGGGAACAAAUAAUAUGUAUGGACAGACAUUCUCUCACUGAAGCACAUUACACAGUUCUACAGAAUUCCGCCUUGGUGGCUCCGUAUAUGGAUGAACACAAGAAUUUGCUACGCUCCAAACACCCGGUGCGGUCUGAUGACUGGAUUACACGUGAACAAACCAGGAGUUUCGCCAGCUGGUUGCAGACACGUAUCAUGCAUGACACCUCUAUUGAAGAUGACAUGUACUUGCUGUCCCAGUUACCAUCUUUGAAUAUAAUGACUUUCAAAGGGUACGAGAUAAAUGGUAAUACAUUUUACACGAUCGCCCAAGAUAAGAAGAGCACCAACCAAAACAGUGGUGUCCGCUUUGAUGCAGAAACCAAGACGGGAAAGGAAACAUAUUAUGGUUAUAUACAGGACAUAUGGGAACUUGACUAUCGACGUGGUUUAAAGGUCCCUUUGUUUCGGUGCAAAUGGGUCAAUAUGACACGAGGCGGGGUAACGGAAGACCCGCAGUACAGAAUGACAACAGUGGAUCUCAACAAUCUUGCGUAUGCAGAUGAACCAUUCGUCCUAGCCAAUGAUGUGGCACAUGUUUUCUAUGUGAAGGACAUGUCUACCAAGCCAAGAAAAAGAAAAGAUAAGGAAGCGAAUGCAUCGUACGAUGAGCCAAAGCGGCACAUAGUUCUUUCUGGGAAGAGAAACAUCGUGGGAGUGGAUGACAAGACAGACAAGUCAGAAGAUUAUGAAAAGUUUGAUGAAAUUGCUCCAUUCACAGUGAAUAUUGACCCGAGCAUCCCGUUAAAUGAUGAAGAUUUUCCAUGGUUACGGCGCAAAGGGACACACGCGAAGAAAAAGUUUCACACCCAAAGAUCUGGGAUGUGA